UUAUUAUCUGGCGCCGACGGUUCCCCGACCAAGAGGCGGAGGGGAUUAAUAGGGAACACGGUGAGGACGACCCAUAAGGGACCAAGCCCGUGGCUGCCCCCGCAACUGUAAGCGGAUUGCCGUCCAUCCUCGUGGCGCCGACGGCGCCAUGCCACUGUGCUUCGGCAUGGGAAGGCAGAUGGACGGCGUUCAUCCGCGAGCCAGGAGACCUGCCGUCACGCAUCGAUCCAU
rnacentral:ncRNA from 1 species